rnacentral:rRNA from 1 species
AUUGGACAAUGGGGGCAACCCGGAUCCAGCCAUGCCGCGUGUGUGAAGAAGGUCUUCGGAUUGUAAAGUACUUUGAGGUGGGAGGAAGGGCUUUAGGUUAAUACCCUGAAGUUUUGACGUUACCAACAGAAUAAUCACCGGCUAACUCUGUGCCAGCAGCCGCGGUAAUACAGAGGGUGCAAGCGUUAACCGGAAUUACUGGGCGUAAAGCGCGCGUAGGUGGUUCAGUAAGAUGGGUGUGAAAUCCGCGGGCUUAACCGAGGAACUGCUUUCAUAACUGCUGCGCUAGGGUACGGUAGAGGGUAGUGGAAUUUCCUGUGUAGCGGUGAAAUGCGUAGAUAUAGGGAGGAACACCAGUGGCGAAGGCGACUACCUGGACUGAUACUGACACUGAGGUGCGAAAGCGUGGGGAGCAAAC